UAAAGUUGGAGGUAAAUCUCUCCUAAAGCUAAAUAUUGACGAAAGACCGAUAGCGAACAAGUACCGUGAGGGAAAGAUGAAAAGCACUUUGAAAAGAGGGUCAAAAAGUACGUGAAAUUGCUGAAAGGGAACCGUAUGAAAUCAGCUUGUCUUUUUGGUAAUCAACCUGGACCUCGGUCUGGGUGCACUUGCCAGUGAGACAGCCUGCGACAAUUCGAUUUGGAGGAAAAAAUUAUUGGGAAUGUGGCCUCUGCCUUUGGUUGAGGUGUUAUAGCCCUUUAAAAAAUACUCUGGGUUGGAUUGAGGACUGCAGCGAGCUCCCUCGGGGGCAUGGGUUGUGGGUGCUUCGCUUCGGUAAAAGGGAAAUCUCUACUUCGGGUAGUGUCUUUUUUAUCGAGGUGAACCCGCCUAUAUUCCCUUUUUCUCGCUUAGGUCGUAGGCAUAAUGAUUUUAUAUGACC
rnacentral:rRNA from 1 species